GUGCCAGCAGCCGCGGUAAUACGUAGGGGACAAGCGUUGUCCGGAUUUACUGGGCGUAAAGGGCACGCAGGCGGUUUUUUAAGUCAGAUGUGAAAGGUACCGGCUCAACCGGUGACAUGCAUUUGAAACUGAAAGACUUGAGUAUUGGAGAGGCAAGUGGAAUUCCUAGUGUAGCGGUGAAAUGCGUAGAUAUUAGGAGGAACACCGGUGGCGAAGGCGGCUUGCUGGACAAAUACUGACGUUGAGGUGCGAAAGCGUGGGGAGCAUACAGGAUUAGAUACCCUGGUAGUCCACGCCGUAAACGAUGAGUGCUAGGUGUUGGGGAGACUCAGUGCCGCAGCUAACGCAAUAAGCACUCCGCCUGGAGAGUACGACCGCAAGGUUGAAACUCAAAGGAAUUGACGGGGACCCGCACAAGCAGCGGAGCAUGUGGUUUAAUUCGAAGCAACGCGAAGAACCUUACCAGGUCUUGACAUCCUCUGACAAUCCGAGAGAUCGGACUUUCCCUUCGGGGACAGAGAGACAGGUGGUGCAUGGUUGUCGUCAGCUCGUGUCGUGAGAUGUUGGGUUAAGUCCCGCAACGAGCGCAACCCCUGUGGUUAGUUGCCAUCAUUUAGUUGGGCACUCUAAGCAGACUGCCGUGGAUAACACGGAGGAAGGUGGGGACGACGUCAAAUCAUCAUGCCCCUUAUGACCUGGGCUACACACGUGCUACAAUGGUCUGAACAGAGGGCUGCGAAACCGCGAGGUGAAGCUAAUCCCUUAAAACAGAUUUCAGUUCGGAUUGCAGGCUGCAACUCGCCUGCAUGAAGUUGGAGUUGCUAGUAAUCGCAGAUCAGAAUGUUGCGGUGAAUGCGUUCCCGGGUCUUGUACACACCGCCCGUCACACCACGAGAGUUGGCAACACCCGAAGUCAGUGAGGCAACCGUAAGGAGCCACCUGCCGAAGGUGGGGUCAGUAAUUGGGGUGAAGUCGUAACAAGGUAACCGU
rnacentral:rRNA from 1 species